AGCGAACGCUGGCGGCGUGCUUAACACAUGCAAGUCGUGCGGGAAAGGGGGGCUUCGGCCCCUGAGUAGAGCGGCGCACGGGUGCGUAAGACGCGGGUGACCUAUCCGAGAGGCGGGGAUAACCCUUCGAAAGAGGGGCUAAUACCGGAUGGGCCCACGAGCAGAGAUGCUUGGGGGCAAAGGGUGCUGCUUGAUAGUGGCAUCCCCUUCUGGAGGGGCCCCACGGCCUAUCAGCUAGUUGGUAAGGUAAUGGCUUACCAAGGCGAAGACGGGUAGCUGGUCUGAGAGGAUGGCCAGCCACACGGGGACUGAGACACGGCCCCGACUCCUACGGGAGGCAGCAGUGGGGAAUAUUGGGCAAUGGCGCAAGCCUGACCCAGCGACGCCGCGUGGGUGAUGAAGGCCUUCGGGUCGUAAAGCCCUGUCGGGUGGAAAGAAUGACCUCGGUGUGAAUAGCACUGAGGUGUGACGGUACCACCGAAGGAAGCACCGGCCAAUUCCGUGCCAGCAGCCGCGGUAA
rnacentral:rRNA from 1 species